rnacentral:lncRNA from 1 species
UGGGGGAUUCAAGAUUAGGGUAGUGAGGAGGGUUUAUGGUGUAUUUUUGGUUAAAUUUUGUGGCUGGUGCCACCACCAGUGGCUGAGAAUUUUGGGGCGGUGCUUUUAGGGUUCGUGUGAGAUCAAAGGCUUGAGGACGACGAUUUGUCUGAUGGAAGGGGGGAGAUUGAACUUCGGACAGUUAUAUAUUAUUAAAGAUUGACUCCUGGCCGUUGUAUUUCCUUACCUAGACUAUCAGGA